rnacentral:rRNA from 1 species
AGCUCCAAUAGCGUAUAUUAAAGUUGUUGCAGUUAAAAAGCUCGUAGUUGAAUUUCUAGUUAGUCAAUAUUUUGGGUUCUGCCCUUAUAUUGGCUGGCUAUCCGACAAUGAACCAUGUCGGUUAUUAAGUUAACCCCAUGGAGAACUGUCAUUUUACUUUGAAAAAAUUAGAGUGUUUCAGGCAGGCAAUUGCCCGAAUAUCUUAGCAUGGAAUAAUGGAAUAGGACUUUGGUUCAUUUUAUUGGUUAUUGAAUCAGAGUAAUGAUUAAUAGGGACAGUUGGGGGCAUUAGUA